rnacentral:rRNA from 1 species
GGUAGAGCACUGUUUCGGCAAGGGGGUCAUCCCGACUUACCAACCCGAUGCAAACUGCGAAUACCGGAGAAUGUUAUCACGGGAGACACACGGCGGGUGCUAACGUCCGUCGUGAAGAGGGAAACAACCCAGACCGCCAGCUAAGGUCCCAAAGUCAUGGUUAAGUGGGAAACGAUGUGGGAAGGCCCAGACAGCCAGGAUGUUGGCUUAGAAGCAGCCAUCAUUUAAAGAAAGCGUAAUAGCUCACUGGUCGAGUCGGCCUGCGCGGAAGAUGUAACGGGGCUAAACCAUG